UUAAAGGCUAUGAAGAGGAAAAGUAGGUUUUUAUGCCGGCAGAGAGAUGAGACGGUUGGUGCAAGUCUCAGCGGCAGAGACUCCGAACCCGCCCCGGAGCCGCAGUGUCAAAUGCGCUGACGCAUUCCGGCGUUAUCGGAAAAGACGGUUUUCGUCGCUUUGAGAGCGGACAAUAUUUGUCCGAACUUGGGUGGUACCGCAGACUUUAUAGUUUGUCCCAGGC
rfam:Ruminococcus sp. CAG:177 genomic scaffold, scf36